rnacentral:piRNA from 1 species
UCUUAAUAUAGAUUCUAAGAAUACACCCAG